AUGAGAAACGGCUACCACAUCUAAGGAAGGCAGCAGGCGCGUAAAUUACCCAAUCCUGACUCAGGGAGGUAGUGACAAGAAAUAGCAAACCGGGAACCUCAUGGUUUCACGGUAUUGCAAUGAGAACAAUUUAAAACCCUUAGCGAGAAUCAAGUGGAGGACAAGUCUGGUGCCAGCACCCGCGGUAAUUCCAGCUCCACUAGCGUAUAUUAAAGUUGUUGCAGUUAAAAAGCUCGUAGUUGAACCUCUGUCUGGGGCUAGUUUUGGCUUUGGUCAGGCUAGUUCUAGGCAUCCGCCUACAAGACUUAGAGGGCAUUCAGUUGUUCACUAGGAGGAGUAGGCAUUUUACUUUGAAAAAAUUAGAGUGUUUAAGGCAGGCAAUCGCCCGCAUAUAUUAGCAUGGAAUAAUAGAAUAGGACACUUUUCCAUUUCGUUGGUUAUUGGAACCGUGUAAUGAUUAAUAGGGACAGUUGUGGGCAUUUGUAUUUAAUUGUCAGAGGUGAAAUUCUUGGAUUUAUUAAAGACAAACUAACGCGAAAGCAUUUGCCAAGGAUGUUUUCAUUAAUCAAGAACGAAAGUUAGGGGAUCAAAGACGAUCAGAUACCGUCCUAGUCUUAACUAUAAACUAUUCCGACUCAAUGUUUGACUGGCUUAUAUAACCAGUUGAGCGUUGUAUGAGAAAUCAAAGUCUUUAGGUUCUGGGGAGUAUGGUUGCAAAGCUGAAACUUAAAGGAAUUGACGGAAGAGCACAACCAGGAGUGGAUUCUGCGGCUUAAUUUGACUCAACACGGGGAAACUUACCAGGUUAAAACAAUAGUGGGAUUGACAGUUUGAGAGCGCUUUCUUGAUUGGUUGGGUGGUGGUGCAUGGCCGUUCUUAGUUGGUGGAGUGAUUUGUCUGCUUAAUUGCGUUAACGAACGAGACCUUAACCUGCUUACUAGACUGGCGAUCAUCAAUCGUUAGCUCUUCUUAGAGGGACUUUGGUUGUUUUAACUCCAAGGAAGUUUGAGGCAAUAACAGGUCUGUGAUGCCCUUAGAUAUCCUGGGCCGCACGCGUCAUACAAUGACUAGUUCAGAAAGUUUUCUCCUGACCCGAAAGGGGAUGGGUAAUCUUGAUAAUACUAGUCGUGUUAGGGAUCGAUCUUUGCAAUUAUAGAUCUUGAACGAGGAAUUCCUAGUAAGUGCGGUUCAUCAGACCGUACUGAUUACGUCCCUGCUCUUUGUACACACCGCCCGUCGCUUCUACCGAGUGGGUGGUCCGGUGAGAUAAUUGAACUUCGCAGGUAACUGAGAGGAAAGAUUAUCAAACCUAUCCACCUCGAGGAAGAAGAAGUCGUAACAAGGUU
rnacentral:rRNA from 1 species